GACGAACGCUGGCGGCGUGCUUAACACGUGCAAGUCGAACGAUGAAGCUGGAGCUUGCUCCGGUGGAUUAGUGGCGAACGGGUGAGUAACACGUGAGCAAUCUGCCCUUGACUCUGGGAUAACUGCGGGAAACUGUAGCUAAUACCGGAUACUUUCACUGGAAGGCAUCUUCUGGUGAAGAAAGAAUUUCGGUCAAGGAUGAGCUCGCGGCCUAGCAGCUUGUUGGUGAGGUAACGGCUCACCAAGGCGACGACGGGUAGCCGGCCUGAGAGGGUGACCGGCCACACUGGGACUGAGACACGGCCCAGACGCCUACGGGAGGCAGCAGUGGGGAAUAUUGCACAAUGGGCGCAAGCCUGAUGCAGCAACGCCGCGUGAGGGAUGAAGGCCUUCGGGUUGUAAACCUCUUUUAGCAGGGAAGAAGCGAAAGUGACGGUACCUGCAGAAAAAGCACCGGCUAACUACGUGCCAGCAGCCGCGGUAA
rnacentral:rRNA from 1 species